UACGUAGGGUGCGAGCGUUAAUCGGAAUUACUGGGCGUAAAGCGUGCGCAGGCGGUGAUGUAAGACAGGUGUGAAAUCCCCGGGCUUAACCUGGGAACUGCAUUUGUGACUGCAUCGCUGGAGUGCGGCAGAGGGGGAUGGAAUUCCGCGUGUAGCAGUGAAAUGCGUAGAUAUGCGGAGGAACACCGAUGGCGAAGGCAAUCCCCUGGGCCUGCACUGACGCUCAUGCACGAAGCGUGG
rnacentral:rRNA from 1 species